GACUUUUAAACUGCCAAAUAUACAGUCCUUCCAGAAAAAUGUGAGUUUUUUGUGAUUGUUGCAAAAAUCCGUGAUUAUGCUGCACGCUUUCUUAAAAAAUGCAAUGGAAUUUGCGGGAUAUUUAUGCAAUUUUAUGAGCUGAAAUUGCGGGAACUUGCAAAAAUUGUGGUUUGAUGAAAAAGAAACUACAAAGCUAUCCCCCCCCCA